rnacentral:rRNA from 1 species
UACGUAGGUGGCAAGCGUUGUCCGGAUUUAUUGGGCGUAAAGGGAGCGCAGGUGGUUUCUUAAGUCUGAUGUGAAAGCCCACGGCUUAACCGUGGAGGGUCAUUGGAAACUGGGGAACUUGAGUGCAGAAGAGGAAGGUGGAAUUCCAAGUGUAGCGGUGGAAUGCGUAGAUAUUUGGAGGAACACCAGUGGCGAAGGCGACUUUCUGGUCUGUAACUGACACUGAGGCUCGAAAGCGUGGGGAGCGAACAGGAUUAGAUACCCUGGUAGUCCCUGA